GACGAACGCUGGCGGCGUGCUUAACACAUGCAAGUCGAACGGAAAGGCCCUGCUUUUGUGGGGUGCUCGAGUGGCGAACGGGUGAGUAACACGUGAGUAACCUGCCCUUGACUUUGGGAUAACUUCAGGAAACUGGGGCUAAUACCGUAUAGGAUCUCCUGCUGCAUGGUGGGGGUUGGAAAUUUUCGGCGGUUGGGGAUGGACUCGCGGCUUAUCAGCUUGUUGGUGGGGUAGUGGCUUACCAAGGCUUUGACGGGUAGCCGGCCUGAGAGGGUGACCGGCCACAUUGGGACUGAGAUACGGACCAGACUCCUACGGGAGGCAGCAGUGGGGAAUAUUGCACAAUGGGCGGAAGCCUGAUGCAGCAACGCCGCGUGCGGGAUGACGGCCUUCGGGUUGUAAACCGCUUUCGCCUGUGACGAAGCGUGAGUGACGGUAAUGGGUAAAGAAGCACCGGCUAACUACGUG
rnacentral:rRNA from 1 species